UACGGGAGGCAGCAGUGGGGAAUAUUGCACAAUGGGCGCAAGCCUGAUGCAGCCAUGCCGCGUGUAUGAAGAAGGCCUUCGGGUUGUAAAGUACUUUCAGUCGUGAGGAAGGUGUUAAGGUUAAUAACCUUAGCAAUUGACGUUAGCGACAGAAGAAGCACCGGCUAACUCCGUGCCAGCAGCCGCGGUAAUACGGAGGGUGCGAGCGUUAAUCGGAAUUACUGGGCGUAAAGGGCACGCAGGCGGUUAAUUAAGUUGGAUGUGAAAUCCCCGGGCUUAACCUGGGAAUGGCAUUCAAGACUGGUUAGCUAGAGUCUUGUAGAGGGGGUUAGAAUUCCAUGUGUAGCGGUGAAAUGCGUAGAGAUGUGGAGGAAUACCGGUGGCGAAGGCGGCCCCUGGGACAAGACUGACGCUCAUGUGCGAAAGCGUGGGGAGCAAACGGGGAUUAGAUACC
rnacentral:rRNA from 1 species